rnacentral:rRNA from 1 species
CCCUUAGAUGUUCUGGGCCGCACGCGCGCUACACUGAUGCAUUCAACGAGCCUAUCCUUGACCGACAGGUCCGGGUAAUCUUUGAAUCUGCAUCGUGACGGGGAUAGAUUAUUGCAAUUAUUAAUCUUCAACGAGGAAUGCCUAGUAGGCGCAAGUCAUCAGCUUGCGUCGAUUACGUCCCUGCCCUUUGUACACACCGCCCGUCGCUCCUACCGAUUGGGUGUGCUGGUGAAAUGGUCGGAUCGGCCGUUUGUCGCGGUUUCCGCGUCAUGUGGCUGAGAAGUUCAUUAAACCCUCCCACCUAGAGGAAGGAGAAGUCGUAACA